GAAAUUCAAUAGUACACGGAGAUCGGGUGUCUGGGCAGCGUCUUGGAAAAACUAUCCACUACAGUUUUCAGUGUACACUACAUUGGAACUAAUGUUUAAAAACAGUUGCUAGCUGGGCACAGUGGCUCACAACUGUCAUCCCAGCACUUUGGGAGGCUGAGGCAGGUGGAUCACCUGAGGUCGGGAGUUUGAGACCAGCCUGAUCAACCUGGAGAAACACUGUCUCUACUAAAAAUACAAAAUUAGCUGGGUGUGGUGGUGCAUGCCUGUAAUCCCAGCUACUCGGGAGGCUGAGGCACGAGAUUUGCUUGAACCAGCGAGGCGGCAGUUGCGGUGAGCCAAGAUCCGAGAUCACGCCAUUGCACUCCAGCCUGGGCAACAAGAGCAAAACUCCGUCUCAAAAAUAAAUUGCUAAAGUGACUUGAUGUGUUGUUACACUUUGGCUUUGACAAGUACAAGAGAACAGUUGUUCAGAAAACUGGAUAUCCCAUCCUCUGUAGCUGAUAGUAAACUGUAA
rnacentral:lncRNA from 1 species